CCUACGGGUGGCUGCAGUGGGGAAUAUUGGGCAAUGGGCGCAAGCCUGACCCAGCAACGCCGCGUGAAGGAAGAAGGCUCUCGGGAUGUAAACUUCUCUUAUUCGGGACGAAACAAAUGACGGUACCGAACGAAUAAGCCCCGGCUAACUACGUGCCAGCAGCCGCGGUAAUACGUAGGUGGCAAGCGUUAUCCGGAUUUACUGGGUGUAAAGGGCGCGUAGGCGGGGAGGCAAGUCCGAAGUGAAAUUCGAGGGCUCAACCCUGGAACUGCGUUUGAAACUGUACGGCUGGAGUGAUGGAGAGGCAAGCGGAAUUCCGAGUGUAGCGGUGAAAUGCGUAGAUAUACGGAGGAACACCAGUGGCGAAGGCGGCCUACUGGACAUUAACUGACGCUGAGGCGCGAAAGCGUGGGGAGCAAACAGGAUUAGAUACCCUGGUAGUC
rnacentral:rRNA from 1 species